rnacentral:lncRNA from 1 species
UAGAAGUAAAUUUGAGUUAUGUACUCAAUCUUUCUGCACAUUACAAAAGUAAUCAAAUCGUAAAGCGCCAUUUGACCUUUUGAUCUUGACCUAGUAGCGGCAAACUAUUUCUGCUAGCCCCUUCCACACUAAAUCUUGAGUCCGCACCUGCUUGCUUCCACGAAAUGUUCCGAAUUCUUCAACGCUGACGAAAUUGAGUGCUAUUUUGAUAAGUACAAGAUCUAUGUUGAAUAAAGCAAAAGAAGUUCAGGACUAUACAUGUCGAGCACUUAUAAUUUAUGGUACAACAAUUAAGACGGGUUCACAAAUUAAGAAAAAUCAAUUCCGUCCAAACAACUACAAGAAAUUAAUCAAAAGCAAAUCUCAAAACUCAAAUUACGUCGAUCAUUUUCUUGCUAGAAAUUUCCUACUUGAACGAAAUACUGAGCUUAUAUGUAGGAGCUUCAACUGAUCUGAGUAUUAGAAUUUACUUUCAAACACUCUCAUUUAUUAGUAGGAGUGAGCAGUUUUAAAUUCCAUAUAAGUUUCACUUGAAACUUGACACCUACUUAUUGGAAUAGAUUCCUAUUUUUUUUUUAUUUUUAUAAAUUUGGGACCUAUCUUACAUACUAUAGAACCUAAAACUUACAUUGUCAUAAAUUCUAGAAACAGUUACAGGAUUUACUCAAAUUUCAUCUAUAUUAUUAAUUAAACGAUUAUAGUGACCGCAACUUGAUAUUACAAUUUAUUAACCAUAAAGCACAUGAAAAAUAUGAAUAUUAAUAAAGUAAAAGUCUCAAUCAUAAAAUGGAAAUUCUUUCGGAUGAUAUACUCAUCAUCGAACAAUAUAGAAUAUUACAAGAUUACACGAAGACAUGAACCAAGAAAACAUUAAAACUUAUUACCGAUUCAAGGUUUCAGGUUCUAGGUUCUUUUGGCUAAGCACCUAAAACCUACUUGUCAAAAUAGGUUUAUUCAUUUUUUUGAAUUUAGAACUUACCCUGCAUACCUUAAAACCUGGAUCAUUUAGAUUCUCAUUGGUUCGGUUCUUAGGAUCCAAGUUCUACCUUAGAACCAUGCUCGUCCCUACUUACUAGCUUUGUAUGCAAAAGAGAAAUGGAAAAGGUAGAUACUGAAUAAAGAAGAACAAUGUAAGGUUUGAAUUACUUCAAAAAUAUUGCGUGAUUAUAAAGAUUUAAUUUAUAUAUUUAGAUCUUAUAAGAGAUUUUUGGGAUUUAAAUGAAAGUUGUUCAAAUGUUUUUUCAAUAUUAUAUUUUUUAAACCUUUUAAAUGGGCAUCAUUACAGUAAUUACUAAUUUUCCUUUCAUAGUACCCUACCCAAGGGGAAGUCGAAUCUCUUGCCUUAGUUAUAUACUGACAUAAUUCACCUUAUGACAUACAUUUUGCUUUUGCCGAAAUUCUCGGACAAAGUUUGAGGUUGAAAUUAUGCUUUGGGGCUCAGCUUGUAUUAUGGAGAGGUCUAUAGCAUAUACUAUGAAUGAACAAGGGGGUGUUGGCUUCUAUGGCAAUGAAGAUGCUCAUCUUCUUAUAAUCUUGAGUUCAAGCCUCGUCAAGAACACUCCAAGAACAAAAUUCCGAACACACUAGGUCGAUACGGGGGAGUAAGCUUUUAAGAUCGCUCAGGGAGGUGGACCAUUCGAGACGGGCGAAAACCGACCCGUACACCAUCCGGCUGCUAUACCAAAAGAUAUGAAAGAAAAUAGUGCGCAUGGUAUGUUCGACCAAAAAACCAGCAUUUGUAUAUGCCCGCUUACAUAUUCAACAAAAUCAGCAGCGGACCAAGCCAAAGUUGGGAAUUAAUAAAAUUAUUUGAGGAGCGAAGACAAAGGGGAAACCUUCUUCGAGGAACCUUACAAGGUGACUUGCAUGUUCGGAAAAGAUCCCAAGUUCUGUCAUCCUGAAGCGUCCAGCAACCCUGCAAACAUCAAAGUCAAUUUGUCCGGACGUUGGGGCCACGAUGACCACCCGUUCACGAGGGGUUUCGGUUUUGAAAUGGUGAGGAAAUUUGAACCGUGGCGUGGAUCUUGGAUUCGUGGCAGAUGAACAACCGCCGUUGAUUCUUGAUCAUCAUUGCUCCAGCCCGUCCUGCUCAUCAACCCAUCUUUUCUUUCAUCAUUUCACACGUUAACGAGGGACGAGAAACCGGGCACUGUUCAAAGCGGAAAAGAGAGGAAAAGCAAAAUGAUUCUUGCGGUUCGAAAUUUCGCCAACGGUCCAUCGGGUGGUUCGGAAAAAAGGUUUCUUGGCCGCCCUUUCACAUGCGAAAGGGCCUGUCCCCACUCGCAGGUUCUCGAGGAUGUCGAGA